UAUUUGGGCAUGUAUGCAAACAAGAGUCUUCAGGAGAAGACAUAUCCCCCCAUCCCCACAAAUCAGCAAUACAAAAUGUGAGGGGAUCACCCAAGUACAGUCUUAUGCUAAAUAUGAAUGAAUGGUCAACUGGUUCUU